CAAAUAUAAAGGCAAACUCUUCCGAAAGGGGAGGACGCAAAACCACGGGCCUGACGGGAUUGCCCCAAGGCUGCCGGGUUGCCUUA
rnacentral:ncRNA from 1 species